CCUACGGGGUGCAGCAGUGGGGAAUAUUGGACAAUGGGCGAAAGCCUGAUCCAGCCAUGCCGCGUGUGUGAAGAAGGCCUUCGGGUUGUAAAGCACUUUCAGUGGGGAAGAAAGCCUUGGGGCUAAUACCCUCGAGGAAGGACAUCACCCACAGAAGAAGCACCGGCUAACUCCGUGCCAGCAGCCGCGGUAAUACGGAGGGUGCGAGCGUUAAUCGGAAUUACUGGGCGUAAAGCGCGCGUAGGCGGUCUGAUAAGCCGGUUGUGAAAGCCCCGGGCUCAACCUGGGAACGGCAUCCGGAACUGUCAGGCUAGAGUGCAGGAGAGGAAGGUAGAAUUCCCGGUGUAGCGGUGAAAUGCGUAGAGAUCGGGAGGAAUACCAGUGGCGAAGGCGGCCUUCUGGACCGACACUGACGCUGAGGUGCGAAAGCGUGGGUAGCAAACAGGAUUAGAUACCCGAGUAGUC
rnacentral:rRNA from 1 species